AUUGAACGCUGGCGGCAGGCCUAACACAUGCAAGUCGAACGGUAGCACAGAGAGCUUGCUCUCGGGUGACGAGUGGCGGACGGGUGAGUAACGUCUGGGAAACUGCCCGAUGGAGGGGGAUAACUACUGGAAACGGUAGCUAAUACCGCAUAACGUCGCAAGACCAAAGUGGGGGACCUUCGGGCCUCACACCAUCGGAUGUGCCCAGAUGGGAUUAGCUAGUAGGGGGGGUAAUGGCUCACCUAGGCGACGAUCCCUAGCUGGUCUGAGAGGAUGCCCAGCCACACGGGAACUAGACACCGGUACAGACCCCUAGGGAGGGCAGCAGUGGGGAAUUUUGCAAAAGGGGCGCAAGCCGGAUGCAGCCACGCGGGGUGUAUGAAGAGGGCCUUCGGGUUGUAAAGUACUUUCAGCGGGGGGGAAGGCGGGGAAGUUAAAAGCUUCACGGAUUGACUUUACCCGCAGAAGAAGCCCCGGCUAACUCCAUGCCACCCGCCGCGGUAA
rnacentral:rRNA from 1 species